CCUAUGCUGCCAAGAAAAGCCUCUAGCGAGUGUUAAAGCCGCCCGUACCCCAAACCGACACAGGUGGUCAGGUAGAGAAUACUAAGGCGAUCGAGAUAACUAUGGUUAAGGAACUCGGCAAAAUGCCCCCGUAACUUCGGGAGAAGGGGGGCCCGUUCUGGUGAGGAGAUUUACUCUCCGAGCUGGGAUUGGCCGCAGAGACCAGGCCCAAGCGACUGUUUACUAAAAACACAGGUCCAUGCUAAGUCGCAAGACGCUGUAUAUGGACUGACGCCUGCCCGGUGCUGGAACGUUAAGGGGACGGGUUAGCGACUUCGGUCGCGAAGCUCAGAACUUAAGCGCCAGUAAACGGCGGUGGUAACUAUAACCAUCCUAAGGUAGCGAAAUUCCCUGUCGGGUAAGUUCCGACCUGCACGAAUGGCGUAACGACUUGGGCGCUGUCUCAACCGUAGACUCGGCGAAAUUGCACUACGAGUAAAGAUGCUCGUUACGCGCGGCAGGACGGAAAGACCCCGGGACCUUUACUACAGCCUGGUAUUGGUGGUCGAUUCGAUUUGUGUAGGAUAGGUGGGAGACUGUGAACUUCGGACGCCAGUUCGAAGGGAGUCAUCGUUGAAAUACCACUCUGAUCGUAUUGGCUGUCUAACCUAGAUCCGUAAUCCGGAUCAGGGACAGUGCCUGGUGGGUAGUUUAACUGGGGCGGUUGCCUCCUAAAAUGUAACGGAGGCGCUCAAAGGUUCCCUCAGCCUGGUUGGCAAUCAGGUAUCGAGUGUAAGUGCACAAGGGAGCUUGACUGUGAGACUGACGGGUCGAGCAGGGACGAAAGUCGGAACUAGUGAUCCGGCGCUGGCAAGUGGAAGCGGCGUCGCUCAACGGAUAAAAGGUACCCCGGGGAUAACAGGCUGAUCUUGCCCAAGAGUCCAUAUCGACGGCAUGGUUUGGCACCUCGAUGUCGGCUCGUCGCAUCCUGGGGCUGGAGUAGGUCCCAAGGGUUGGGCUGUUCGCCCAUUAAAGCGGCACGCGAGCUGGGUUUAGAACGUCGUGAGACAGUUCGGUCCCUAUCCGCCGCGCGCGUAAGAGUCUUGAGAAGAUCUGUCCCUAGUACGAGAGGACCGGGAUGGACGAACCUCUGGUGUGUCAGUUGUCCUGCCAAGGGCACUGCUGAUUAGCUACGUUCGGAAGAGAUAACCGCUGAAAGCAUCUAAGCGGGAAACUCGCUUCAAGAUGAGGGCUCUCACAGGGUUAACCUGGUAAGGCCCCCAGUAGACCACUGGGUUGAUAGGCCGGAAGUGGAAGUGCGGUAACGCAUGCAGCUGACCGGUACUAAUAGGCCGAGGACUUGCC
rnacentral:rRNA from 1 species